UACGUAGGGGGCAAGCGUUGUCCGGAAUCAUUGGGCGUAAAGCGCGUGUAGGCGGCCAGAUAAGUCCGUUCUGAAAGCCCGGGGCUCAACCCCGGAACUGCCCUUGAAACUGCAGUGCUAGAAUCUUGGAGAGGCGAGUGGAAUUCCGAGUGUAGAGGUGAAAUUCGUAGAUAUUCGGAAGAACACCAGUGGCGAAGGCGACUCGCUGGACAAGUAUUGACGCUGAGGUGCGAAAGCGUGGGGAGCAAACAGG
rnacentral:rRNA from 1 species